UACGGGGGGGCAAGCGUUGUUCGGAAUUACUGGGCGUAAAGGGUUCGUAGGUGGCCAAUUAAGUCAGACGUGAAAUCCCUCAGCUCAACUGGGGAACUGCGUCUGAGACUGGAUGGCUUGAGUGCAGGAGAGGAACGCGGAAUUCCAGGUGUAGCGGUGAAAUGCGUAGAUAUCUGGAGGAACACCGGUGGCGAAGGCGGCGUUCUGGACUGCAACUGACACUGAGGAACGAAAGCCAGGGGAGCAAACGGG
rnacentral:rRNA from 1 species